rnacentral:rRNA from 1 species
AUGGUUAAGUUAGAAAGGGCGCACGGUGAAUGCCUUGGCACUAGGAGCCGAUGAAGGACGGGACUAACACCGAUAUGCUUCGGGGAGCUGUAAGUGAGCUUUGAUCCGGAGAUUUCCGAAUGGGGAAACCCACUGUUCGUAAUGGAACAGUAUCUUUAUCUGAAUACAUAGGAUAUUGAAGGCAGACCCGGGGAACUGAAACAUCUAAGUACCCGGAGGAAGAGAAAGCAAAUGCGAUUUCCUGAGUAGCGGCGAGCGAAACGGAAUUAGCCCAAACCAAGAGGCUUGCCUCUUGGGGUUGUAGGACACUCUAUACGGAGUUACAAAGGAACGAAGUAAAUGAAGCGACCUGGAAAGGUCCGUCGAAGAAGGUAACAACCCUGUAGUUGAAACUUCGUUCCCUCUUGAGUGGAUCCUGAGUACGGCGGAACACGUGAAAUUCCGUCGGAAGCUGGGAGGACCAUCUCCCAAGGCUAAAUACUACCUAGUGACCGAUAGUGAACCAGUACCGUGAGGGAAAGGUGAAAAGCACCCCGGAAGGGGAGUGAAAGAGAUCCUGAAACCGUGUGCCUACAAGUAGUCAGAGCCCGUUAACGGGUGAUGGCGUGCCUUUUGUAGAAUGAACCGGCGAGUUACGAUCCCAUGCAAGGUUAAGCUGAUAAGGCGGAGCCGUAGCGAAAGCGAGUCUGAAUAGGGCGUUUAGUAUGUGGUUGUAGACCCGAAACCAGGUGAUCUACCCAUGUCCAGGGUGAAGUUCAGGUAACACUGAAUGGAGGCCCGAACCCACGCACGUUGAAAAGUGCGGGGAUGAGGUGUGGGUAGCGGAGAAAUUCCAAUCGAACCUGGAGAUAGCUGGUUCUCUCCGAAAUAGCUUUAGGGCUAGCCUCAUGUUGUGAGAGUCUUGGAGGUAGAGCACUGAUUGGACUAGGGGCCCCCAACGGGUUACCGAAUUCAGUCAAACUCCGAAUGCCAAAGACUUAUCCAUGGGAGUCAGACUGCGAGUGAUAAGAUCCGUAGUCAAAAGGGAAACAGCCCAGACCACCAGCUAAGGUCCCCAAGUAUACGUUAAGUGGAAAAGGAUGUGGAGUUGCUUAGACAACCAGGAUGUUGGCUUAGAAGCAGCCACCAUUUAAAGAGUGCGUAAUAGCUCACUGGUCGAGUGACUCUGCGCCGAAAAUGUACCGGGGCUAAACGUAUCACCGAAGCUGUGGAUUGACAUCUUUGAUGUCAGUGGUAGGAGAGCGUUCUAAGUGCUGUGAAGUCAGACCGUAAGGACUGGUGGAGCGCUUAGAAGUGAGAAUGCCGGUAUGAGUAGCGAAAGACAAGUGAGAAUCUUGUCCACCGAAUGCCUAAGGUUUCCUGAGGAAGGCUCGUCCGCUCAGGGUUAGUCGGGACCUAAGCCGAGGCUGAAAAGCGUAGGCGAUGGCCAACAGGUUGAUAUUCCUGUACCACCUCCCCGCCGUUUGAGUAAUGGGGGGACGCAGUAGGAUAGGGUAAGCGCGCUGCUGGAUAUGCGCGUUCAAGCAGUUAGGCUGAUGAGUAGGCAAAUCCGCUCAUCAUAAAGGCUGAGCUGUGAUGACGAGGGAAUUAUAGUACCGAAGUUCCUGAUUCCACACUGCCAAGAAAAGCCUCUAGCGAGGCGGGAGGUGCCCGUACCGCAAACCGACACAGGUAGGCGAGGAGAGAAUCCUAAGGUGAUCGAGAGAACUCUCGUUAAGGAACUCGGCAAAAUGACCCCGUAACUUCGGGAGAAGGGGUGCUCUGGUAGGGUGUAUAGCCCGAGAGAGCCGCAGUGAAUAGGCCCAGGCGACUGUUUAGCAAAAACACAGGUCUCUGCGAAGCCGCAAGGCGAAGUAUAGGGGCUGACGCCUGCCCGGUGCUGGAAGGUUAAGAGGAGGGGUUAUCCUUUGGGAGAAGCUCUGAAUCGAAGCCCCAGUAAACGGCGGCCGUAACUAUAACGGUCCUAAGGUAGCGAAAUUCCUUGUCGGGUAAGUUCCGACCCGCACGAAAGGCGUAACGAUCUGGGCACUGUCUCAACGAGAGACUCGGUGAAAUUAUAGUACCUGUGAAGAUGCAGGUUACCCGCGACAGGACGGAAAGACCCCGUGGAGCUUUACUGUAGCCUGAUAUUGAAUUUUGGUACAGCUUGUACAGGAUAGGUAGGAGCCUGAGAAGCCGGAGCGCUAGCUUCGGUGGAGGCGUCGGUGGGAUACUACCCUGGCUGUAUUGAAAUUCUAACCCGCGGCCCUGAUCGGGCCGGGAGACAGUGUCAGGUGGGCAGUUUGACUGGGGCGGUCGCCUCCUAAAAUGUAACGGAGGCGCCCAAAGGUUCCCUCAGAAUGGUUGGAAAUCAUUCGUAGAGUGUAAAGGCACAAGGGAGCUUGACUGCGAGACCUACAAGUCGAGCAGGGACGAAAGUCGGGCUUAGUGAUCCGGUGGUUCCGCAUGGAAGGGCCAUCGCUCAACGGAUAAAAGCUACCCCGGGGAUAACAGGCUUAUCUCCCCCAAGAGUCCACAUCGACGGGGAGGUUUGGCACCUCGAUGUCGGCUCAUCGCAUCCUGGGGCUGUAGUCGGUCCCAAGGGUUGGGCUGUUCGCCCAUUAAAGCGGUACGCGAGCUGGGUUCAGAACGUCGUGAGACAGUUCGGUCCCUAUCCGUCGUGGGCGUAGGAAAUUUGAGAGGAGCUGUCCUUAGUACGAGAGGACCGGGAUGGACACACCGCUGGUGUACCAGUUGUCUUGCCAAAGGCAUCGCUGGGUAGCUAUGUGUGGACGGGAUAAGUGCUGAAAGCAUCUAAGCAUGAAGCCCCCCUCAAGAUGAGAUUUCCCAUAGCGCAAGCUAGUAAGAUCCCUGAAAGAUGAUCAGGUUGAUAGGUCAGAGGUGGAAGCAUGGCGACAUGUGUAGCUGACUGAUACUAAUCGAUCGAGGACUUAACCAAAC